CCCAGCAAACCAGGUUACAUAGGAUAAUGUUUAUUACCACUGCACACGUCGGCUACAAGCUGUGGUCAGAUGUGGUGAACUGUGAUCUUUGUGCUCUUUGGCACCCGAUACAGUGACCAAAAGGUAUUUAUCUUUAAACUUUAUUGAAAUCACCCAGAAAAAUCACCUGAAAAAAAGAUUACAUUCCUUCAGUUGAAACAUAACAAAUCAUAUCAAUCCACGUACACCGAUUAUCAUAAUUAGCGCAGUCAUACCUACAAUAAAUAUAGCAUUUUUAAAUCAAAGAAAAAAUCCACAUUGAACAUCCACCAUACAACACAUCAGGGAACUGUAGGAUAUGGCUUCUCAAUGGGGCAUGGCUUCUUUCAAAACUAAAUGUCAAUAAAUGAUUACAUCCACUCGGCCAAAAUCAAGUCAGUCAAAUUCUGUAAGAUCCUUCGUGUAGCACAGGAAGUCAAUUGUGCAGAUAAUAGCUGCCAAGAAAAAAUAUUUUUAUUCUAAAACUCUAUACAUCCAUUAUAGAAACGUAAAUAUAUGUUUGCACUAGUUGAUUGAGAGUAGUAUUCAAAAUAUACAAGAUAUUAUAUGUAAUCGAUGAGGUCUGUCAUCGCUUGUUUUAUUCUCAACAAAAAAUUACCUCAUUUCUUUCAUUUAAUAGUCCAAGGCAAGGUGCAAAUUGUAUCGUUCAUAUAGAGGAGGUGGGGCUUGUAUUAGCACACAGCACUGUUUUGAAAACUGUUGAGCUCUUCGGCUCACUUUCUUUCCAUAUAUAUUUUUUGUGCUUUUGACACUGAAAACAAUGUAAAGGUCAUCUCUGUGUUCCUCAAACACCUGAGAGUUUGAUAAAUACUGUUAAUCUCAUACUUAUGUGAUGGUAACGGCACUGAAACACAAUACUGGAAAGAAAAAAACAGGAAAAUAAAGAUAAAUUGAUAGCACAGCAACGUUGAAGCCACAUUUGUGGCCGCAACGUGUUAAAAAUAGUAUACAAUUUCUCUUUGACUCCAAGAAUGCAUGGGCUUAACAUACUCUUUCUAUAACGUAUUUCCACAUUAUGGAGUAGAACUCUGCUCGUAAUGAAAACAAUAAAAAGCAAAUGAAAUAAACAUAUUUGAAAAGAGAAUAAUUAAAUUGUAACCCGGUAUUGGUCAGGCCUCGUCCCAGCAUUGCACUAUAGACCCUUAGGAGUUAAUAAUAAUAAUAAGAAUAAUGUACAGUAGAUAAUCUGUUUACAAGUUCAUGCCUGAAGGCCUAGUCUUUGAUUAUUAUUUGAAUACGUUUUACAUAGAAGAAUAAAUAAACACUCGCCACUUUAUUAGCUUUGAAUAUAAAUGACCCUGUUGCAUUCCACCGUACAAUAUUCAUUUGAUCUAGGUGUGCCUAAUAAGUUGGCAAGUGGGUUUAAACAUUAAUGCUAUACAUUUCUGGUAACAAACAUAAAUAAAACUUUUUGUAUAGUUGAAAGCAAAAGUUAUUUUUUUUUAAAGGCAAGAGGUUUAAGUGAAUGAUAUCAGCCAUGGUAAUAUAAAUGACGCAUACAUACGCAGUAACCAACACAGCAUUAGUUCAUCACCUAACUACAAAAAGACAUUUAAUAUACAAAUGUUACACCUGGCGUUGGUAUUAUAUAUUUGGCAGUGUUAAUCCUGCACCUGAACGCCAUCUUUGUUCUCCUUCUACUUCUUUCCUACUUGUAUCGAUGCCAAGAGAUAGAUUUGGCAGUUUGGUUCAAGAAAAUGUCUUUUGUUUUUUUUUGGUACAACAGAAUAAUAUGUGACUUAACCAUCUUUGCAUUUUUAAAAAGCACAUGCAAAACCAUCGCACAUCAGUAACACAACAGAUGACUUGCUAUGAUAUACUGUACUGUUUUGUUCACGUCAACUUUUCAUCACUUUACUUACAGGGACAGUCUUUCACACCCCGCUGGGAAAGAAAUCGAGAUAAUGCAGAACGUGAUGGACUGUUAAUAUAUCAUUUUUUUCGACCUGAUGCUAACAUCCAGGAAGCAGUUGACACCAACACAUGAACAAGACUCCCUCCCUCUUGAAGGAAUAUCUCGACACUCAACCCAAAGUGACGUGAGCUGUCAUUGCUGCCAAAGAGCCAAGACACGACGGCCUGGCGGCACUGCCCUACGCAUCGUGACUGAAUUCUGUUGGUUCUGCAUAAAAUUCUGACAACAAUGCAGGGCGGAUUCCUCUGGGAGGCGACCUCGCAGUAGAAUGCAAAGCAACAACAAUCUGGCAUCAGAGUCUCUCACAGAGUGACUUUGGAAACAAUUGGCCGUCGGGAUCACAAAUCAUAUCAACUAAGUCAGAAAUUGAAGAGAUUCCUAAAAACCAACCUCUCUUGAUCAGCGCUACGAAACCGAGGCAAGAUCAUUUGCCUGAAGCUGCUGGUCCGGUCCAGUUUGGGCUGACUUUUGGCCCUCUUGAUGGAACCCUUCAACCUCCGAUUGAGGAAACUCUACAGAAAAAGCCUUCGUUGCCAACCAAGGGUACUGUGGCCUGGUUGCCAUGGGAACAUGCUCAUCAUGGCUUGCCGCUACCACAGGUUGAAACAACCGACUGAGAGGUGAGCUUGCAAAAAAGCAGACUGAUGAAAGCAUCCAGCAUCCGUGAGACACCACGAGGCUUCCUCUCAUCUUUCCUUUUUCCUAACGCGGCCUCUCGCCUUUGGAGUCCUUUCUCCUCGCUUCCCUGGAAGCUGAAGGAAAAGCUGUGAAAGCUGAGAGGUGAGCGAGGAUUGAGCACUCGUGUAAAUUUUCCCAAAAGACAACAAAAUAGAAAAGUCCUGGAAAGAAAGAAGCCAAGUGGAGGAAGGUUUCCACAGCACGCCGUUUGGAGAGAGGCUAGGAAGUCUAGGAAGAGCUAAAGCUAAUUCAGUGACUUCCUCAAAGGAGCUAGGCUUCUUCCGAUGAAAUACGAGACAAAGGAGUUGUAAAAGUAUGAAAAAAAAGUAAGGCUGUCAAACUGUAAUGAAAUGUAUCAUUUUAUGGUUAUGCACCACCAUGUGUGGAAUGUUUAUGAAGACAAAGAGAAAGGCAAAGGCAGCACGUGUGUGACAACAAGUGUCUUUCAUCGUAGCACAUGCACUUUAACCGCGUCGCCUUAAUGAGCCAUAACGAGUACGCAAACUUGAAAAGUUCAUAAACCUGAAAUAUUUCACUUUGUCGUGACUCUGUCGAAUCUACAUUUCACUUUGUGCAUUGAACUACUGAAAUCACUUCACACAACAACGCAGGCUCUUUUUCAAAAGGACCAUUGAUAUUACAAAGUAUUAUUGUCUACAUUUCUGAGAGCACUGUUAUGAUCAU